UUCUGAUUGCAAGACGACUACUCAACCCAUCAAGCCACAGCUUCCCUAAUGUGAUUGGUGCCAUAGACUACACACAUCCCCAUCAAGGCCCAAAUGAAGGGGAUUUCUUAAACCGAGAGGGGGUUCACAGUGUAAAUGUGCAGGGGAUUUUGACGGGAUCCUGCUUGGAGACAGGGGCUAUGCCUGCAGGCAGUAUUUUAUGACACCCUUCCCCAACCCAAACCCUGGACCACAGACCCGGCACACAUUGAGAUGACCUUUGCACAACUGAAGGAAAGAUUUCAGUGUCUGAAAAGUCUGAGGGAUGCACCUGACAGGGCCUGUGACAUUGUUGCAUGUGUCAUGUUGC